ACAGGGCGCUGCCACUCGCGGAGUGCCCCAGUGUGACAGGCAUGGUGCCGGGGAGUUCGCAUUCACUUCUUAUUUGAUUCUGUAAAAGUCUGGAGAAGUCGGCCUUAUUAGACCUAAUUAACCAGCCCGGGGCAGGGGUGUUCUACACACACUGUGAAGAUCGGCUUUUCCACAGUCAUUGAAGGUCUACACUGUCAGAACUCAGACGACCGGCCCUAACUCUCUGGUUUCAGCUUCUGCUCAUCUCCUAUUCACAUAUUCCCCUCUACCCACUGCAGUGUCUCUCCUGUUCCUCUGGCUCCCUUAGACAUAUUGGAGCCCUCAGUCUGGAGUGCUUUCCUUGUUUAAAGGAACUCGAGCUCCAUCCCUCACUUCUUUGUUUUUAAGCCUAAACUGCCUUCCUUCAUUAUGCUCCAACCUUCCAUGUCUCAGCCUGGCCUGAUAUUUCAUUUUCCACCUUUCAUGAAUACAUUGAAAUAACUUAC